UAGCUAGUUGGUGAGGUAAAGGCUUACCAAGGCGACGAUCUGUAGCGGGUCUGAGAGGAUGAUCCGCCACACUGGAACUGAGACACGGUCCAGACUCCUACGGGAGGCAGCAGUGGGGAAUUUUGGACAAUGGGGGCAACCCUGAUCCAGCCAUGCCGCGUGAGUGAAGAAGGCCUUCGGGUUGUAAAGCUCUUUCGGCCGGGAAGAAAUCGCAUGGGCCAAUACCCUGUGUGGAUGACGGUACCGGAAUAAGAAGCACCGGCUAACUACGUGCCAGCAGCCGCGGUAAUACGUAGGGUGCGAGCGUUAAUCGGAAUUACUGGGCGUAAAGCGUGCGCAGGCGGUUUUGUAAGACAGGCGUGAAAUCCCCGGGCUUAACCUGGGAACUGCGUUUGUGACUGCAAGGCUAGAGUACGGCAGAGGGGGGUGGAAUUCCACGUGUAGCAGUGAAAUGCGUAGAGAUGUGGAGGAACACCAAUGGCGAAGGCAGCCCCCUGGGUCGAUACUGACGCUCAUGCACGAAAGCGUGGGUAGCAAACAGGAUUAGAUACCCUGGUAGUCCACGCCCUAAACUAUGUCAACUAGGUGUUGGGUGGGUAAAACCAUUUAGUACCGUAGCUAACGCGUGAAGUUGACCGCCUGGGGAGUACGGCCGCAAGGUUAAAACUCAAAGGAAUUGACGGGGACCCGCACAAGCGGUGGAUGAUGUGGAUUAAUUCGAUGCAACGCGAAAAACCUUACCUACCCUUUACAUGCCAGGAACUUGCCAGAGAUGGCUUGGUGCCCGAAAGGGAGCCUGGACACAGGUGCUGCAUGGCUGUCGUCAGCUCGUGUCGUGAGAUGUUGGGUUAAGUCCCGCAACGAGCGCAACCCUUGUCGUUAAUUGCCAUCAUUUAGUUGGGCACUUUAACGAGACUGCCGGUGACAAACCGGAGGAAGGUGGGGAUGACGUCAAGUCCUCAUGGCCCUUAUGGGUAGGGCUUCACACGUCAUACAAUGGUCGGUACAAAGGGUUGCCAAGCCGCGAGGCGGAGCCAAUCCCAGAAAGCCGAUCGUAGUCCGGAUUGCAGGCUGCAACUCGCCUGCAUGAAGUCGGAAUCGCUAGUAAUCGUGGAUCAGCAUGUCACGGUGAAUACGUUCCCGGGUCUUGUACACACCGCCCGUCACACCAUGGGAGCGGGUUCCGCCAGAAGUAGGUAGCCUAACCGCAAGGGGGGCGCUUACCACGGCGGGGUUCGUGACUGGGGUGAAGUCGUAACAAGGUAGCCGUAGGGGAACCUGCGGCUG
rnacentral:rRNA from 1 species